GUGGUCGUGAAAAAAUGACGAAGCGAAGAUCGGAUUACCUUAAAGCUUGACUCUGCCCUUGAGAGAGAAGUGGCCUGGUGCGUACCAAGGUUCCGUGGAACAGAACCACUUGUGACUGAAUCGUGAUUCCGAAGGUUCAAGUGGAAACAGCACAACAACUUUAUACUAGAUUCGACUUUGGUGCUUAAUUACAAACUCUGCCUUUAGACUCCAUGAUUUUGCGAGAAGGUUAGAGAGUCGUCGUUGAACCCGACAGUUGCAGAGACUGUCUCAUCUCAUA
rnacentral:lncRNA from 1 species